GACGAACGCUGGCGGCGUGCCUAAUACAUGCAAGUUGAGCGCUGAAGGUUUGUGCUUGUACCAACUGGAUGAGCAGCGAACGGGUGAGUAACGCGUGGGUAAUCUGCCUUUGAGCGGGGGACAACAUUUGGAAACGAAUGCUAAUACCGCAUAAAAACUUUAAACACAAGUUUUAAGUUUGAAAGAUGCAAUUGCAUCACUCAAAGAUGAUCCCGCGUUGUAUUAGCUAGUUGGGGAGGUAAAGGCUCACCAAGGCGAUGAUACAUAGCCGACCUGAGAGGGUGAUAGGCCACAUUGGGAACGAGACCAGGCCCAAAACUCUAAGGGAGGGAGCAGUAGGGAAUCUUCGGAAAUGGACGAAAGUCUGACCGAGCAACGCCGGGGGAGUGAAGAAGGGUCUCGGAUCGUAAAAAUCGGUUGGUAGAGAAGAACGUUGGUGAGAGUGGAAAGCUCAUCAAGUGACGGUAACUAAACAGAAAGGGACGGCCAACUACGUG
rnacentral:rRNA from 1 species